rnacentral:lncRNA from 1 species
CUGUGAUUGCAGACAGCUGGUUUUUCCAUUGUGGUUUGUUUUAGGCGUAAAAGUUAUAAUUGUGAUCGCAUUUAUAACUAUCAGAUUGACAAUCGUCAAUAUUAAGAAUGGCUCGUAGAUUUAAAAAGAAAGUAAAAACGGUUAAACAAAAAAUAAGAAAACUCGAUCGGGUUUCUAGAAAGAAAAGACAAAAAAAAGCACAGGUAUAUAAAGCUAAACAAUAUGUAUAUAACUUAGCCAACUGUCAAUUGACAGACG